AUGCAGCCACCACCUGGGUAUUCUGUUCCUGAUGGCAUGGUAUGUCGUCUUCGUCGCUCUCUCUAUGGCCUUAAGCAAGCCCCCCGCGCCUGGUUUGAGCGCUUUGCCUCUGUGAUCACUGCUGCUGGUUUUUUAGCAAGUGCUCAUGAUCCCGCAUUGUUUAUUCACCUUUCUCCUCGUGGUCGGACUCUUCUUCUUCUUUAUGUUGAUGACAUGAUCAUCACGGGGGAUGAUCCCGAGUAUAUUGCCUUUGUAAAGGCCCGUCUUAGUGAGCAGUUUCUUAUGUCUGAUCUUGGACCUCUUCGCUACUUUCUUGGGAUUGAAGUCUCUUCUACCUCUGAUGGCUUUUUUUAUAUCCCAGGAAAAGUAUAUCCAGGAUCUUCUUGCUCGUGCUGCUCUUACUGA
rnacentral:rRNA from 1 species